GCCUACAGUUUUACCCCCGAUCUUCCUCCUUUCACCCGUUCUUUGUCGCUUACAUCGCUUCCCCGCUAUUACAUUGCUGUUGUGAUCGAAGAACAAUUUUAUUUUAUUUUUUUUAACAUUCCAGAAUGUUUUUUUGGGAAUUUUCCAUAUUAUUUAUUCCGAAAGACUAGCACAUUUUGAUUUCCAGAACUAGGGGUGCAUGAUUAGUCUUCCAGAGUGCACAUUGUGGAAAAGUGUUGUGGAAUUACCAUUCAGAGAACGUGUUCUUUUAAGCAUUCCAGAACAGUAAUUGUUGUUUUGAGCAUUGUCUGGAACGUAUUGGUUCUAUGAUUUAGUUUUCAGAUAGACUUUGAUGUUGUGCAUUUAGGUUUCUCCUCGUCCAUGUUUGAGUCGAAGUGCAGGUGGUUUCGUGGUGGGUGUGGUUCUUUCCAUCCCCAUCAUUGUCCCGGCGUUGGCGUUCUUUCCAUUUAGGACGCCCUUCGUUUCAGGCGCGGUGGUUGUGUGUUUCCGGCGCAAGGUCGUGGUGGUUGAGCACGGCCUUUUUUGUAUUGUGCCCCGGUGUCCCCGAAGGCCUUGCUCUGUCGUCAGAGAUCAAACAAAUUUUGUAAAAGUUAGCCACUAAUUAAGCUGGAGGCUAGGUGUAGAAUUUAAGGUAUUAUUUAUGUUACAGACAAGGUUGGCCGCUACUGAAAACAUGACUCAUAUUCGGAACCUUCUUGGUGUAAAAUUUGACAUUACGGAUUAUGAAGUUAUAGAAUUUGGUAGAUGAAACCAAAUUGUGAAAUUUAUGGAGGAGGCUCAACAUCAUAGAGAUGGGUUAUUUGCUAAGGUUCUUAAAUUAUACAUCCUAUUCUGCCUUAGGGACGUUAUUGAUGCAAGACUUUUUUUCAUCAUUGCUAUCAUUGCUAGAUGGGUCGGUUGUUGGACAAAGUGACAUCUGACUUGUGGUGCAUGACUGUGUCCAUUACUAACACAUUUUUGGUUAUCCUACAUAAUAGACCAUGCCAUCAACAAACAUCAGCAAAUGUUUCUUUGUAUAGGUGUUUGUCAAUGACAUGUUCUGUAAUUAAACUUGAGUAACAAGAACCACAUUUAGGAUUUCAUAUCCUUUUGGUGUUAUUGUUUUGAUAUCCAUAGGGUCUGACUUGAGUAUAUAAACCUUUGGAGGGAUUGUCUUAGGUCGGAGACGGUUUUUGAGGUAGGAGUUUUGGGCGACGAGUUUUUCCAAAUGGGAGAUAUUCUGGAAAUGCUUCUUCUGUUUCUCUGUUUCGUCUUCGAGGGAGAGUGAGUGUUAUUGUUUCUGGGAUUCCUCAUACUCAAUUCAUAACAGAGUUAUGGAAUUACAUGUUUCUUCU